UUUUUUUGUUUUAUCCUGGCUCAGGACGAACGCUGGCGGCGUGCCUAAUACAUGCAAGUUGAGCGCUGAAGGUUGGUACUUGUACCGACUGGAUGAGCAGCGAACGGGUGAGUAACGCGUGGGGAAUCUGCCUUUGAGCGGGGGACAACAUUUGGAAACGAAUGCUAAUACCGCAUAAAAACUUUAAACACAAGUUUUAAGUUUGAAAGAUGCAAUUGCAUCACUCAAAGAUGAUCCCGCGUUGUAUUAGCUAGUUGGUGAGGUAAAGGCUCACCAAGGCGAUGAUACAUAGCCGACCUGAGAGGGUGAUCGGCCACAUUGGGACUGAGACACGGCCCAAACUCCUACGGGAGGCAGCAGUAGGGAAUCUUCGGCAAUGGACGAAAGUCUGACCGAGCAACGCCGCGUGAGUGAAGAAGGUUUUCGGAUCGUAAAACUCUGUUGGUAGAGAAGAACGUUGGUGAGAGUGGAAAGCUCAUCAAGUGACGGUAACUACCCAGAAAGGGACGGCUAACUACGUGCCAGCAGCCGCGGUAAUACGUAGGUCCCGAGCGUUGUCCGGAUUUAUUGGGCGUAAAGCGAGCGCAGGUGGUUUAUUAAGUCUGGUGUAAAAGGCAGUGGCUCAACCAUUGUAUGCAUUGGAAACUGGUAGACUUGAGUGCAGAGAGAGACGAUUAGCU
rnacentral:rRNA from 1 species